GCAACUUCAUGCAUUUGAAGCCCAUUUCUAGAGAGCUGCGGCGGGAGCUGUAUGGGCGCCGUCGCAAGAAGUGAGUAUUCCUGUGCCUGUUGUUAAGCUCAGUGGCUUCUUUCUCCCCUCACAACCCCCCCUUCCAAAAAAAAUUUUUUGGCAUAGGUGUCGUUUCUGUUUUUUAAAAGGCAGUGCUUAGAACAUAGUACAUAUUUUUAAAUAUUCAAAUGUCCUCUUUGGAGAAGAAUAUUCACGUGCACACAGGUAACUUCAUUAUCCAGCUUCUCAAGUAGAGAUCAGAUCUUAGUAAUCAAGCAAGAGGGUGGUUAGCUGGGCAGCCGCGGACAUGAGGCUCGUGGAGAAAGUGGGCAUGCAGUUUAUUCUCGCAGAUAUUACAAAGAAGAAGAAUAGAUGUUGUCACCUCCUUUAGAUCAGGGAGGGCUUCCCUGGGACACAUUGGAAGAAGAAUUGUCUUGGGCCACACAUAAAAAUACGCUAAUGGUAGCUGAUAACUUCUUUUUUAAUUGCAAAAAAAAUCUCAUAAUGUUUUAAGCAAGUUGAUGAAUUUGUGUUGGGCCGCAGGUUGGACAAGCUUUUGCUUUACAUAUUUCACAUGUCCACUGGGGUUUCUUUUGGUUUUGUUUGUUGGUUUUAGGGCAUUUCAUUAUGUCUUGGGAUCGGUGGCAUCCUCCCUUCGGGACACUGGCAGAAUCAGGCCCAGCGGUCACAUCUCUCUGAUCCUACAUUUAAAUGUCCGACAGUCAGGUCACAGAGCAGAGAAAAUCAAGAUGUCAGAAUUGAACCGAUUGAGUUCUGAGUCUGGAGAGGUUCUCAUCCCUCUUCUGUUAAACACGGACUAGUAAAUAAAUGGGUGGUGAUUGUUUUAUUGUCAGCAUUAAAGAAGCAUAAAAGAAAAACAGGCCUGCUCUCCUCAGCCCAAAAACCUGAUGGACACAGUAGCUAUGAGCGCCUGAAGCGUGGGGUCAGUGAGGGUUGAAAAUGGUAUGUGUCCAGCUCAUUUUGAUUAUGAUUUCCUGUGAUCAUUUGAGUUGGUUCUAGAAGAAGACAGAAGAUUGAAGGUAUUACACCUGUUCACUUUUAAGUUGCACACUUUUUUCUCCUGAAACUUUUAACACCUGAAAUCAGGGUGCCUGUCAGUCACGGCGUGCAGUCUCUUCAGCAGUGUUUUUCUUUAUCAGUGCCGUUGGCUUGGGGAGAUGCGCGUGUUUAGAGUGUGGGUGUGGUUCUGUGCUGCCUGCUCUGGUUUGGAUGGCACGGUUUUGUUUCUUUUCCUUGGUUGCAGGCAUAGAUCAAGAUCCCGAUCCCGGGAGCGUCGUUCUCGGUCUAGAGACCGUGGUCGUGGCGGUGGCGGUGGCGGUGGUGGAGGCGGCGGCGGACGGGAGCGUGACAGGAGGCGGUCGAGAGAUCGUGAAAGAUCUGGGCGAUUCUGAGCCAUGCCAUUUUUACCUUAUGUCUGCUAGAAAGUGUUGUAGUUGAUUGACCAAACCAGUUCAUAAGGGGAAUUUUUUUUAAAAAACAACAAAAAAAAAAACAUACAAAGAUGGGUUUCUGAAUAAAAUUUGUAGUGAU
rnacentral:sRNA from 1 species